rnacentral:rRNA from 1 species
GAUGAACGCUGGCGGCGUGCCUAAUACAUGCAAGUCGAGCGAACGGACGAGAAGCUUGCUUCUCUGAUGUUAGCGGCGGACGGGUGAGUAACACGUGGAUAACCUACCUAUAAGACUGGGAUAACUUUGGGAAACCGGAGCUAAUACCGGAUGAUAUUUUGAACCGCAUGGUUCAAAAGUGAAAGACGGUCUUGCUGUCACUUAUAGAUGGAUCCGCGCUGCAUUAGCUAGUUGGUAAGGUAACGGCUUACCAAGGCAACGAUGCAUAGCCGACCUGAGAGGGUGAUCGGCCACACGGGAACUGAGACACGGUCCAGACUCCUACGGGAGGCAGCAGUAGGGAAUCUUCCGCAAUGGGCGAAAGCCUGACGGAGCAACGCCGCGUGAGUGAUGAAGGUCUUCGGAUCGUAAAACUCUGUUAUUAGGGAAGAACAGAUGUGUAAGUAACUGUGCACAUCUUGACGGUACCUAAUCAGAAAGCCACGGCUAACUACGUG